GCCAGCUGGUGGCACCCAGAGCAGAAAGCAGAGCUCCUCAUUUGAUAAGACACUUAAUUGUACGAGGGACUGCUCUUUUGAAAGAAAACAUGUAGAAGAGUGCAUGGAGAGUAAAUCAUCCAAGGACAGUCCUUCAAGAUGCUGCUGGAGUGCCAGCUUGACUUUCUUCCCAGCAGAUGACGUAUGACAGGGACAAGGGUAUAACAAGCAGUGAAGCUCAUGGGAAAUGCAUCAGUUCUCAUUCCGAGUCUGGCUAACAAAGAUACGAACACUUAAUUAAGAUUUCUUUCAUCUCAUGAAAAUAGCCCUGAAGAUCUGAGCCUGACAUGAGAGCUGCCAGCAAGACUAGCAAAAGCAAAGUUUCUAGCUGUGGAAGAUCUUCAUUCAAGAACUUGCCCUCACAAACCACAUUUCUUUAAAUUGUGAGUGGGAUCUAGGUGCUUCUAAGUGGACGACCUAACUCAAGCAAGAAACUCUUCUGACCCACUCUACUCCUCUGAAUUCCUCUCUUGCACAUGGAGAGACCUACAGGAGGGAGAGCCUCUUUGCUCUGCAGGAACGAUGGAAUCAGUUCAGUUGUGAAUGCUGCAGAAACAGUUGGCUCAGGCUUCCCAACAUGCCAUCUGUGAGAAGACAGAUAUUUUAGGUGACUGAUUCCAAAAAAUGCACAUUCUUUUUAUAUUUAUUUACACUUACAUUUAUAUUGAUUAAAAUCAGUCCGGUUUAGCUACAUUAAAUUAGUCUGUUGAUAAUUAAGCAUCUGUGAACAGGGAACAUUAGGAGCACUGAAGAAACAAACAAUAGUUUAUAACAGGAUCAUUACAGCAGUCUUAGCAGCACUUACAACAUGUUUAUUCAAAAAUGAAAUAUGCCCUAAGGAAGAAAAACGUCGAUUAUGGAACAUGGGGGAUUUAAAAUAAAAAAGGUCAGUUUUAAAGCCUUUAAGUAAAUCAUUUCAAACAACUCAGCAACAGUUCAUGUUUAAAAAUAGACUAAGU